CCAGAGUCCCCAGGAUCCCAA
rnacentral:misc_RNA from 1 species